rnacentral:rRNA from 1 species
UACGUAGGGUGCGAGCGUUGUCCGGAAUUAUUGGGCGUAAAGAGCUCGUAGGCGGUCUGUCGCGUCGAUCGUGAAAACUUGGGGCUUAACCCUGAGCUUGCGGUCGAUACGGGCAUGACUGGAGUUCGGCAGGGGAGACUGGAAUUCCUGGUGUAGCGGUGAAAUGCGCAGAUAUCGAGAGGAACACCUGCGGCGAAGGCGGGUUGCUGGGCCGACACUGACGCUGAUGCGCGAAAGCCAGGGGAGCGAACGGG